AUACGGAGGGUGCAAGCGUUAAUCGGAAUUACUGGGCGUAAAGCGCGCGUAGGCGGUUUUGUAAGUCGGAUGUGAAAGCCCAGGGCUCAACCUUGGAAUUGCAUUCGAAACUGCAUGACUAGAGUAUGGUAGAGGGAAGUGGAAUUCCAGGUGUAGCGGUGAAAUGCGUAGAUAUCUGGAGGAACAUCAGUGGCGAAGGCGACUUCCUGGACCAAUUCUGACGCUGAGGUGCGAAAGCGUGGGGAGCAAACAGGAUUAGAAACCCUAGUAGUCC
rnacentral:rRNA from 1 species